AGGACUAACGCUGGCGGCGUGCCUAACACAUGCAAGUCGAACGUCUCUUUCUUCGGGAAGAGGAGUGGCGGACGGGUGAGGAACACGUGGGAACCUGCCCUUCAGUGAGGAAUACCGGCGAGAAAUCGCCGACAAGACCGCAUAGCCUCGGUGCAAGUCGAGGAAAGCUCUCUCGAGAGAGGGAGCGCCACACGAGGAGCCUGCGCCCGAUUAGCUAGCUGGUGGAGUAAUGGUUCACCAGGGCGACGAUCGGUAGCUGGUCUGAGAGGACGAUCAGCCACACUGGGAUUGAGAACGGCCCAGACUCCUACGGGGGGCAGCAGUGAGGAAUUUUCGUCAAUGGGGGCAACCCUGAACGAGCAACGCCGCGUGCAGGAAGAAGGUUUUCGGAUCGUAAACUGCUUUUUCUCGGGGAAGAGAACGGACGGUACCCGAGGAAUCAGCCCCGGCUAACUACGUGCCAGCAGCCGC
rnacentral:rRNA from 1 species